GAUCCUGGCUCAGAAUCAACGCUGGCGGCGUGCCUAACACAUGCAAGUCGCACGAGAAAGGGUAGCAAUACCUGAGUAAAGUGGCGCACGGGUGAGUAACACGUGAAUAAUCUACCUCCGAGUGGGGAAUAACUGAGAGAAAUCUUAGCUAAUACCGCAUAACACUUACGAGUCAAAGCAGCAAUGCGCUUGGAGAGGAGUUCGCGGCAGAUUAGUUAGUUGGCGGGGUAAUGGCCCACCAAGACGAUGAUCCGUAUCCGGCCUGAGAGGGCGCACGGACACACUGGAACUGAAACACGGUCCAGACUCCUACGGGAGGCAGCAGUGGGGAAUUUUGCGCAAUGGGGGAAACCCUGACGCAGCAACGCCGCGUGGAGGAUGAAAUCCCUUGGGAUGUAAACUCCUUUCGAUAGGGAAGAUAAUGACGGUACCUAUAGAAGAAGCCCCGGCUAACUUCGUGCCAGCAGCCGCGGUAAUACGAGGGGGGCAAGCGUUGUUCGGAUUUAUUGGGCGUAAAGGGUGCGUAGGCGGUUUGGCAAGUCUUGUGUGAAAUCUUUGGGCUCAACCCAAAGUCUGCAUAAGAAACUGCCGGGCUUGAGUAUGGGAGAGGUGAGUGGAAUUUCCGGUGUAGCGGUGAAAUGCGUAGAUAUCGGAAGGAACACCUGUGGCGAAAGCGGCUCACUGGACCAU
rnacentral:rRNA from 1 species